rnacentral:rRNA from 2 species
UGGGGAAUAUUGGGCAAUGGGCGCAAGCCUGACCCAGCAACGCCGCGUGAAGGAAGAAGGCUUUCGGGUUGUAAACUUCUUUUAAGGGGGAAGAGGAGAAGACGGUACCCCUAGAAUAAGCCACGGCUAACUACGUGCCAGCAGCCGCGGUAAUACGUAGGUGGCAAGCGUUGUCCGGAUUUACUGGGUGUAAAGGGCGUGUAGCCGGGUCUGCAAGUCAGAUGUGAAAUCCAUGGGCUUAACCCAUGAACUGCAUUUGAAACUGUGGAUCUUGAGUGCUGGAGGGGCAAUCGGAAUUCCUAGUGUAGCGGUGAAAUGCGUAGAUAUUAGGAGGAACACCAGUGGCGAAGGCGGAUUGCUGGACAGUAACUGACGGUGAGGCGCGAAAGUGUGGGGAGCAAACAGG